CAACACUACAGUUGUAAAAUGGCAACCUUAAAUCAGCAACACUACAGCUGUACCAUGGCAACCUUAAGUCAGCAACACUACAGCUGUACCAUGGCAACCUUAAAUCAGCAACACUACAGCUGUACCAUGGCAACCUUAAGUCAGCAACACUACAGCUCUA